GGAAGUGCGGCGAGCUAUAAUGCAAGUCGAGCGAACUGAUUAGAAGCUUGCUUCUAUGACGUUAGCGGCGGACGGGUGAGUAACACGUGGGCAACCUGCCUGUAAGACUGGGAUAACUCCGGGAAACCGGAGCUAAUACCGGAUAACAUUUUCUCUUGCAUAAGAGAAAAUUGAAAGAUGGUUUCGGCUAUCACUUACAGAUGGGCCCGCGGUGCAUUAGCUAGUUGGUGAGGUAACGGCUCACCAAGGCAACGAUGCAUAGCCGACCUGAGAGGGUGAUCGGCCACACUGGGACUGAGACACGGCCCAGACUCCUACGGGAGGCAGCAGUAGGGAAUCUUCCGCAAUGGACGAAAGUCUGACGGAGCAACGCCGCGUGAGUGAUGAAGGCUUUCGGGUCGUAAAACUCUGUUGUUAGGGAAGAACAAGUACAAGAGUAACUGCUUGUACCUUGACGGUACCUAACCAGAAAGCCACGGCUAACUACGUGCCAGCAGCCGCGGUAAUACGUAGGUGGCAAGCGUUAUCCGGAAUUAUUGGGCGUAAAGCGCGCGCAGGCGGUUUCUUAAGUCUGAUGUGAAAGCCCACGGCUCAACCGUGGAGGGUCAUUGGAAACUGGGGAACUUGAGUGCAGAA
rnacentral:rRNA from 2 species